CACUCUUCACGACUCCGCUCGCAUGUACUUCCGUAGCUUCUGCAGCAUUCCUGAGUGGUGGCUGGCCCUAGCGUACCGAGAUGCACGUCUCGUCUCGUGUUCCCCUUGCGCUGAGCACUCCCCGACAACUUUUCAAAGCCGCACCGUUUGAGGUCGUCGACAAGUGAAGACAUCUGCGCCACAGGCGCCGAGAACUCUCGGGGUGUUGACCUCGAUUACACGGGUACCUUCGGUUCUGUUUCGAAGACCGCUUGAGGCGUCCGAGUGUUAACUCUGUUCGUUUCAUUCUCUACACCCCCCGCUCAAGUGCCCUCGUGGGCUGCCGUCGUUGGCCGCCGACCCCGUUAGGACAGAAGUGGCUGAGGAAUCCGUCAGAGGCAAGCGAGGCAGAAAGAUCCACGGCGAAAACAACGACACAGAGGCGGAUGAGCGUUUGCUUGUUAACUGGGCUGGAAUAGCAGUUCUGGAGCAGGAGAGCGGCGUCUCAUCCAAUACCCCUGGAACUGCAAUCAUCCCUCCGUUCGGGCACUUCGAGGUAGCACCCAUUCCUCGCUAGCUGAAUGAAGAAUGCGUUCUGGCGUCGCGCGACGAAAGCCUUUGUUACUGAUCGAGACAUCUGAUCGUGCUGGGUUCUUUGAAAUUCGAGGAGGCUACUGCGAAGACCUUGCGUACCCACAUUGACACCAAUAAAGAUAUGAAGCCACUCUUAUCGGCAAGAAACAUCGUGGGAAUCGCGUCUCGGGUAUUUUUGGACGCUCAGCCUCGCCAAAGGAAUGCCUGUAUUUCGUACAUUACCUUUUGGGGCCGGCAGAUCGGCUACUAAAAAGGGAGUGAACAAUAAGCGACAGAUUACUCCCUUACGCUACAUAGAUGGUAAGGUUCAACCUUUUCAGUCGCCGCACGGCGCCGUGAUGACAAAAGUUCUGUAAGUUUGCACAAGGAGGAAUCGGCCAGUUUUGUACCUUGGACUGCGACAUGCUUAUCACAAGCAGGACCGUCUAAUCGGGAACAGCAGAGUUUCCGAACACUUUUACUCGACCACUUCACUAGCCUGGAAGGCGCAGCGUUACCAACGGGCGUUUCUAGAGAAGCCGACUCUCCUUUGAGCACAUCCGAAGAUUCGAUUCGAACGCUCAUCUGCGAAGGUUUCCGUUCAAACCAAAAGGCGUUCUCUCUCACGGGCAAAAGAAGUGACAACACCACGCAUGCACGAGAGAUCGAAGCCGCUUCGGAUACCGAUACACGCCAGCUUUGGCACGUAGAGACGAGGCUGUGUGCGCCUCUAAACAUGCCUGCGCGCGCGAAAAGCGCUUCUGUCCAUUUUUCCUCCUAUACGUUUCGGCUAACAUUCAAGGACGUGUUGCGUCUGAAACUGCUCCUGCAAGAGCAGUGAUGGGUCGUUCACGACUACCGGGCAGCAAACGGAUGUGGCCUCUCCGUGGACGACCGGGAAGUCUCCUGUCUUGGACAUCCUUGGCUACAGAAACGCCGUCAUGGCAUCUGACGUCUUCAAUUCGUGAAUAUGAGCCGC
rnacentral:lncRNA from 1 species